UUAAGUUUCCUAAACUCCGCUAUAUUGUGGAGAUAGAUCGAUAUGUGUUUCAGAAUUUAGGGGCAGGGGGUGGACAAAGGUUGGCCUAGUUCUAUCCUACGGCUGCAGUUAAUCCUUGAAUGGCUCAGAAACAUUCUACAAAUUUAGCCCUGGUCAGAUGAUCCGGGGCUUCAGGUUGUUCAGCCCUAGUCGAGAUUCCUAUAACUUCUUUAUGCAUGUCAAUACAUAUAUA
rnacentral:lncRNA from 1 species